AGGAUAAUGCCAUGUGGACGUUUAUAGACAAAACCAAAGGAGACGGGUGAUCCAUGGCUUGACUGCUUCUGCAUGAAUCCGAGGUCAUGGGAGAUGAGGUGAUUCCACUUCCUAGAUACAGACUUGAACCUAGAGAGGUACUUGCAAGGGAGCCAUGGGAGGAUACCAUAGUGGAGGAUGUCUUCGGAGAUCUUUGCGACCAUAAUA
rnacentral:lncRNA from 1 species